CUGCAGUGAAGCUGGGUAUCUUCCUAUCACAGCUGACAUUAUCAAUGCAAGAAAACAAACUUCAGGAGUUCACAAAUAUAAAUUCCGUGUGGCAGACAUUGAGUU